GACGAACGCUGGCGGCGUGCUUAACACAUGCAAGUCGAACGAAGUGGCGAACGGGUGAGUAACGCGUAAUCAACCUGCCCUUCAGAGGGGGACAACAGUUGGAAACGACUGCUAAUACCGCAUACUGAAGGAGGGGAUUGCGUCGGAUUAGCUAGUUGGGGGGGUAACGGCCCACCAAGGCGAUGAUCAGUAGCCGGUCUGGGAGGAUUGACGGCCACAUUUGGACUUGGACACGGCUCAAGCUCCUACGGGAAGCAGCAGUGGGGAAUCUUCCGCAAUGGAGGGAAGUCUGACUGAGCAACGCCGCGUGAUUUGUGACGGCCUUCGGGUUGUAAAGCUCUGUUAAUCGGGACGCGGUACCGAAAUAGAAAGCCACGGCUAACUACGUGCCAGCAGCCGCGGUAAUUC
rnacentral:rRNA from 1 species